UGGGUUGUAGCUCAGUGGUAGAGCGCUUGCCUUGCAUGCACGAGGUGCUGGGUUCAAUCCUCAGUACCACAU
rnacentral:tRNA from 1 species